GUUGGAGUAGGAAUCCUUGUUCUUCUAGGAAUCCUCAUGUGAUUAGGAAUCCAUCUUUAAUUAGGAAUCCUUCGUUGAUUAGGAAUCCUUCGUCGAUUAGGAAUCCUUCUUCGAUUAGGAAUCCUAAUUUCUUCAUGUCUUCAAUUCAUCCAUUCCUUUUGCUCCAAACGACUCCAAAUUACAUCAUUUUGCACACUUCGGCUUUGGAAUCUGAAAACACACAAAAGUGACUUUAAACACUAAAAUAGCUAACGAAACAUAACAUAAAUGCACGAGAACAAGCCAAUUAAGUCGCAUAAAUAUGCUCCUAUCAAAACACAAGUUCUCAUGCAUGUAGAAACUCAGUGGAGAGAAUACUACAUUUGCAACACAAUGAAAAGAGGCAAACACAUGACAAAUAUACUCAAAAUAUAGAAGCAUCCAGGAAAUAAAAUGACAUACAAAAAAAACAGCACAACCAAUAAUGAAGAAGUCUCCAAAACUCAGAACUUUAAACGUAGUUCUACGAAAUCAUGAAAAAUUUACUAAAAUCCAAAUAAUACGUAACAAAAUUGAAGCAUAUCUUGACAUGCAAAAGGUCAAAAGGUACCUGAAGUGAUGAGCAAUGGUUUGACAUACCUUUUUUUUCUUCAGCUCUUUGUAAGUUGCUCUAUGCAUAAAUUACAUCAAUUAAAAAAAAAACCAUUACGUUAAAUUAAUCUGAAUAUUUAAUCAAAGGUGAACCAGAAAAUUAUAAAACUCAAAAUUAAAAAACCCCAAGAUGAAUUUAAGCAAAACCCAUAUCAGAUUCUCAGUGGGUUUAUGAAAAAUAGUAUUGAUCAUAUAUCAACACUGUAAAUAAAUAAAUAAAAUAUAAAAAAAUUGAAAUUUUCCUACCUUUAAGUUUCAAGGUUUUUACUUUAGAAUCUAAGGAAACCCCAAAUUAGAUUCUAAGUGGGUUUAUCAAAAAUAAUAAUCUAUUAACAAAUUAACACUGAAAGUAAAUAAAAAACCGAAAAAAAAAUUGAAUUUUCUUACCUUUAGUUUCUGGGUUUACACUGUGGAAUCCAAUUGAGAACAGAUGAGACUAGGUGAUGGUUUUCGGUGUUUUUGGGUCCGUGGGUGGGGUGGGGGUUUUGAAUCGUGAUGUUAAGUGAGAGCGAGAGGAAGAAUGAUGUUCACCAGAGAGGAAAAAGAAAUGGACGGACUGAUUUCUUAUCACAGUACUCCAAAUAAAUGGACGGCCCAAUUAAGACAGGGGCAUUUUCGAAAGUACACUGUUCUUAUGAACAAUAACACAAUGUGUUUUCAACUGAGUAUAGAUUGAAUUAAAUGUCUGAUUUUUAGAGCCUAAAAGAGUUAAACACACUAUAAAUUUUCUUUUAAAUUUAUUAUCAUUAGGAAUGUUUUCAAAUACAAGCUUAAUAGAUUUGGAUUCAUCUUAUAGUGUUUUUUUUUUUACUUUAAGAGAUCAUGCCUAAACCCCUAGAACUUCUACUCCAAUGAAAAUAUCAAAUUAUUAGAGUCAAAUUACAAUUCAUUACUGUGUGACAAUCUAAAGCCUUAUGUAAAAUUUUAUGUUUCUCCAACCCAGUUGUCAAAUAAUAUUUUAUUAAAUUAGAGCUUUAAAUUGUUGUAUUAUGCUUCACUUCCCUUUUUGGUUACGUCACAUUCGGGUGAUGGCCAGCAUGCUUCGACUCCGAUUGAAGUGUGUCAAGAUAUCAGGAUAGAUAUAUCGAGUUGGGCUCACAAAACCAAGCUGAAAACUUUGUCCAUAAGGGGCUAGACCCAAACCAUCUGCCUAGUGUGGGAGCCUACAAACUCGUGCUUGAGCUGAGCCAUGCCAGCAUCUCUAGUUGGAGUUGCGAACCCAGACGCAUAGAAUCAGAGGGGAAAAAUACAAAAAAUAAAGGCUUAUUAUAUUAACACCCCACAAAUUGUUGAAUAAACCCCACAUUUGCUUUUUCACUUAAAAAUUAUCUUAAUGCACCCCACAUACUUCUUCAUAAUACCCCACACAUCCUACAUUCUCAAUAUACAUCUUAUAUUUUCUACAUACACCUCACAUUUCUCAAAUCUUAUAACACUCAUUUUUUAUUUUCAUGGACUGAAUCUAAACAUUUGAACUUUUCGUUUGCCGAAUGAUUUCAAAUCAUCUGAGAGCCAUUGAUAUUUAAUACUAUAUGAACAGAUGCAACUCAAUUUCAUGCGUGUGGCUAUCUAACAUUCAAUUGAAAUAAAUUCCUAUAGUUGCUACCCCUUUUCUCAAGGGUGGCCGCAGAAAAUGUUGCCUUUCUUAAUCGCUAAACUUUUAUCUUGGGGAUGAUAAGGUGGGUUUUCCCAGACAUAUGAAUUCAUAUAUUGAAGAACUAGGUCUCCAUCUUUUUUUUUUUGUCGAAAAGAACUAGGUCUCUGAUAGGAGCAUAUUUAUGCGACUUAGUUAACAUGUUUUCUUGCACUUAGUUAGUUAGUUAUUGCUUAUAAGAGUGUUUUAAGCCAUUUUCGUAUGUUUGUAGGUCUUAAUAACAAAGUUGGCAAGAAAAGUGCAUUUUGGUGCAUUUUGGAGCAAUUUUGGGCUGAAAUGGAUUGCAUGCACAUGGAGACAUGAGUGUGUGCAAGUGUAACAGCUAGUACAAUGUGGAAAUGAUGAUUACAUGGCAGCACACACACAUGGGAAAGCAAAGAAUACACAUCACAUGGAAACACACGGCACAGGGGCAGAAAAUGGGUGAUUUGUGGCUGAAAUAAUGAAGACCAUGUGUGUGUGCAAGUGUGACAGCUUGUACAUGUGGAAAUGAUGACUAGAUGGCAGCACACACACAUGGGAAAGCAAGGAAACACACGACAUAGACAGAAAAAGGGAGGAGGAGAUACAACAUUUCUACCACAAUCACAUGGAAACACACGGCACAUGGGCAGAAAAUAGGUGGAUUGGUGGCUGAAAUGAUGAAGAACAUGUGUAUAAAUGUAAAGGAGAAACAUGGCAGAAAUUGUGUUUGUUUUGUGGCUGAAAUGAUGGAGGUCAUGUGUGUGCAAAUGUAAAGGGAAACAUGGACAGCACACACCCAUACAAACUGCACAUGCAAGGAAUUGAAGUGGUCCUCUCCUCAGCCUAUAAAUACAUCCACUAUUCCCCUUCCUAAAGAAAGAUCUUGAUCCAUCAAAAGAGCUUCAUUCACAAACACAAGUCCCUUGUCGUGAGCUCCAUUCCAUUUCAUCCAUACAUUCAAACACAUCUUCAUACACUUCCAUUUUCCAUGCCGUGAGAUCCAUUCCAUCCAUACAUCCAUAAAUCCCACAUUUCACAAACACCAAUACAUUUUCCUUCCCUUGGCCGAGACAUUCACCAAUCCUAAAUACAUUCCUAACCUUUCCAUAUAUCCAUACACAUCCUAGACACUUGUGCUGCAACAAGGUAGUGAAAACAAAGGUCCUUGGUGUUUCAAGCUUGGAACUUUGGAGCGUUUUAGGUGUACUUUGUUCUUACUUUCAAUGUCUACUUUGUUAUUUUCUAAUUUUGUUGCAAUUAUGAGUGGCUACACCCCUAUUUAGUUAGGGGGAAGUUUGAAGCCAUGAACAUGCUUGAGAUAUGAAUUGAUUUCUUCCAAUUGUGAUUUGAUAAGUUGUGAUUGCAAUUCAAUUAUCUAUUUUAUUCAUAACUGAUUCUUGUAUGUUUAUUAAGGAUGCAUACUUAGUUUUCAUGCAUGAAUUAGAUGCUAGAAUAUAAAUGAGUUUCACCUAAUCGUUACAAGUUUAUAUUCAUGAGUAGUGAAGGUUGUUUAUCACAAUCGCGUUAUUUGAAUUCUUGGCAAUUGUAUCAUGCAUUCAUAGUUAUAAUUGUCUCGUCAACACUUAUGAUUUUCAUUGAACGUAAUGAUCCCUGAUUGUAUCUCUAUUAUGCAUUCAUAUAGGGGACUUUUAGAGAAUGAUUUGGGUUAUUGCAUGCAUUCAUCCAACUCAAUGAGUAAAGGAAAAUCAAAGGGUUAAUUUGUGCAUCACAGUUAAUUCGGGGUGUUGAGCAUCAUAGUUUAUUGAAAAGCAAUUGGAAAUCAAUUCAGGUACAAGUGUGUCAUGUGCGAAGAAUGGACCUCUAACUAAUCCAUCCAUCAUCUUAUUUCUUAAAUUCGCUUUACAAUCUGUCUAAUUUUAUAAGUUGUUUGUUUGUUUCAAAUUCGUCAAAACCGAAAUCCCCCUUUUACUUUGUUGUUUCAAAGUGUUAAAUUUCUAUUUCGUUAGUGUUUUUGAGUGUUUUGAUUCAAACCAAAACACUAAAUUCAUCCAAAGUUAUGUUAGAGUCAAAUCUGCCCAGUAAAUGUUUUUAGGCAAUUUUGAGUGUUUUUAAAUUGUUUUGCGUCUUUAGAAUCUGUUUUGAGUCCUUUGAGUCUAUUCAAACGUUUUUAACUUUGUUUUUAUGUUUUUGAGUUAGCUUAGAGGUUUUAGCAAGCCCUCCUAAUCCCCGGUUUAGAACGUUCCCUACUUGCAUUUUUACUACAAUUAAUUUAAGUGCUUAACUUUCAUUGCAUCAAAUUUUGGUGCCGUUGCCGGGGAUUAGCAACUUUGCUAAUCCCUCGUUGUUUCUUUUUAUUUAUUUUCGUGUGUUUUUAUUUUUGUUUGCUGAUUGGGUUUAUUUCUUAUUUUCAGGUACUAGUUUAUGACUCGUGGUUCUCAACAUAUUAGUGCAAAUAUCUUGGAGUUCGACGACGAUUUUGAAAGAACUUUGAGAAGAAAGAGGAGGCAUCCAGAACCUAGUGAACCUAGUUCAAGUUCAGAGGCCGAAUCUGAAUUUGAAAAAGAAAAAGAAGUCAUGGCAGCAGACAAUCGUAUAAUCAAAGAACUCUCGGCCUCCGGGUUGGCCAAUGCCAUACCCCUUUGCAUUCAAUACCCCAUGGCUGCUCAAGGCAAGACCAAUGAGUUCGAAUUGAAGUCAAGCUUGUUGCAUCACAUUCCUAAAUACCAUGGGCUGUCCAUGGAACAUCUAAACAAGCAUCUUAAGGAGUUCGAAGUGGUUUGUUCGAGCAUGACACCUAUCAAUGUCGAUGGGAACAUUUUGAUGAUGAAAGCCUUUCCAUUCUCUCUUUUGGAAAGGGCUAAAGAUUGGCUUUAUGAGUUAGCACCUGGAACGGUCACUUCUUGGGAAAGCAUGAAGAUAGCGUUUCUAGAGAAGUUCUUCCCCACUUCGAGAGUCAUUCUCUUAAGGAAGAAGUUUAGUGGCAUUCAACAAAUCAAGGUGAAUCGUUUCCCGCUUAUAAUGAAUGUUAUAAAACUCUUGUUGCUUCAUGUCCACAGCACCAAAUGAAGGAGGAGCUGCUCAUUCAAUACUUCUAUGAAGGAUUUCUCCCCAUUGAACGUCAAAUGCUAGAUGCCUUGGCGGGUGGUGCGUUGGUUGACAUGACUUCAGUGGCUGUUAAGACUCUAAUUGCAAAUCGAGCACACAAUGCACAACAAUAUGAGGGUGUUGGACAAAGAGAAGGCCCACGGCAACAUAGUGUGAAUGAGGUAAAUGCAAUUUUUGAAAUUCAAUCACAACUUGCUAAUCUUACCUCUCUUGUGUCUUAGGUUGUAAUUGGGUCAAAACCACAAGAAAAUCAAGUUUGCACCGUGUGCUCCAUCCAAGGGCAUCCAUCUGAGAAAUGCCCUCAGUUUAUCGAGAAUGGUGGAUGGAAUCUGCCAAUGCUAUUGGAUUCCAAGGCCAAAAUUAAAACAGAUAUGAUCCAUACUCGAACACAUACAACCCCGGAUGGAGAGAUCACCCUAAUAUCAAGUGGAGAGAGACCCAACAACUUGCACAACAAGGGGGAUUUAGGCAAAACCCCAUUGGGUUCCCACGGCCAUAUCAAUAAAAUCAACCACUUCCGGCCCAAUUUAGAACAGGUUCGCCCAUGGAUAAUGAUCAACUUGUUCAAUUGCUAACCAAUGUGGCGCAGGGCAUGUAAAAUCAAGCCGAGGAGGUGGAAGAUUUGAAAAAACAAAUGGGACAAAUGGCUAAAUUCAUGGGGCAAUUCAGUAGAGAACAAGGUAAGUUACCAAGUUCAACAAAUGUGAAUCCGAAGGGCGAAUUUGAAUCUGCCAAAGCCAUCAUGUUGCGUAGUGGAAAAGAAGUUGGAAGUGAGUCUGACACUCCCAAAUCUGCCCAAAAAGAGGAUGAAAAGCUGCAAAACGAGGAGGGGAGCACUAGCACACCCACGGAAAGGGUGAAUCAACCAUUGCCCCAGCCCCUAUCAUUCCUAAAUCGGCUAAACAAGGUAAGUUGAGUUCAAAUUCACUUAAUACUAAUUUGACCCAUGUUCCUUUUCCUUGUAGGUUCAUGCAAUCGAAGAAGGACGAGAGUGAGAAGGACAUUCUUGAAACAUUCCGGAAAGUGCAAGUAAACAUUCCACUCCUUGAGGCAAUUAAACAAGUCCCGAAAUAUGCCAAAUUUCUCAAAGAGUUGUGCACAACCAAGAGAAGAAUGUCAAACAAAGAGGUAGUUAAGGUAAGUGAAAAUGUUUCAGCCGUAUUGCAAUGUAAACUGCCCACUAAAUGCAAAGACCCAUAAAGUUUUACGAUUCCCUGUGUGAUUGGCAAUACUCGAUUUGAAAAUGUAAUGCUAGAUUUAGGUGCAUCUAUAAAUGUCAUGCCUUACUCUAUUUAUGCAUCUAUGAACUUGGGUGAAUUGAAAAAGGAUAGUGUGAUUAUACAAUUGGCUGAUCGUUCUAACACAUACCCAAAAGGUGUUUUGGAGGAUGUUUUAGUGCAAGUGAACCAUUUGAUCUUUCCGGCUGAUUUUUACGUUUUAGACAUGGAAAAUUUAGUCCAUUCCACCUCUUUGCCGAUUCUCCUUGGUAGGCCAUUCAUGAAGAUAGCCCGUACAAAGAAUGAUGUAUUCAAGGGAACUUUGACGAUGGAAUUCGAUGGGGAAGUUAUCGAUUUUAAUAUUUCUGAAACUAUGAGAUAUCCCGUUGAUGAUUACUCUUGCUUCUCUAUUGAUGUUAUUGAUUCUUUGGUGCAGGAGUAUCUGGAGGAAUUGAACGAGGAUGCCCUUGAAAUAGCCAUUGCGAAGGGCAUAGAACUCAAAAACCAAGAACUUGGGGCAAUGCAAACCCAUGGCCAAAUUUGGGAUCCCAAUGCCAUGCCCUUUAAUGAGGAAGUUGUGGAGGUUGUGGCUGCCCUUGAGUCACUUCCACGACAAUAUGGUAAGGUUUCGCUCUCAAUUUCAAGUUCAGUUUCUACUAAGAUGUUACCUUCUAUUGUUCAGGCACCUACUCUUGAACUUAAGCCAUUGCCGGACCAUUUGAAGUAUGUGUUUUUGGGAGAUGACGAGACAUUGCCCGUCAUUGUUUCUUCAAGUCUCACAGCACAUGAGGAAGAAAAGCUUGUGAGGGUGCUACGAGAGCACAAAACAGCCAUAGGGUGGACCUUGGCCGACGUUAGGGGAAUUAGCCCCACCACUUGCAUGCACUGCAUACUUCUUGUAGAGGGGACUAAACCAUCCCGAGAGGCUCAACGCCGUCUCAACCCUCCUAUGAUGGAAGUUGUGAAAAAGAGCUCUAAAGUGUUGUUUGUUGAAGAAAGGGUCCAAAACAUGGAAUUCGACCCUAAGUGUUGCUUGAAUCUUCCCUUUGUGUUUAAAAGUUAAUUUUUGCGUUAUUAAGUGAAUUCCAAGCGUCUAUUUCAUUACUUUGCUUGCUAUUGCUUUCAAAACGUUUAUUAUCCUUAUCCUUUCUUUGUUAGCCAUUACCCUUAAACCCCGUUACAACCCUUAACUUCAUCUUGAGUGUUAUGCGUUUCAAUAUGUGGAGUUUGGAAUUGGUAUGAGCAUAUGGUGUCACUGGUUCUUGCAUCUAAGUAGCAGCAUUCCAUUCAUGAGAUCAUAUCUAAACAUGCUUAAUAACUCCAGAAAAUUGUUUUCUUUUUUAUACAUAUAUGUGAGUGUUCGUUUUCAUGUUUACAUCAAUCUUCUCACACAUAACUAGUGUAGGGUGUGUAGUCAGAAAAUGUGUGAAAAUAGAGAGUAUCUUGUAAGGAAUUGAGCAAAUUCUCUAAGGCAUGUUACUACAUUCAAAACAUCGUUUUAAUUGGUUAAAUGUGAACUAGUAAGUGGUGACUGUGAUUAAGUAUGUGCUCAAGAGUGAAGAUAACUAAAAUAUGUGGGAAUAAUGAUUUUUAACAUGUCAUGUGCGUUGGAAAUCCCUGAGGUAAACGUUGGAAGGUUUAGGUUGUGUUUUGUCUUCUUUAUUUUGCUCGAGGACUAGCAAAAGCUAAGUGUGGGGGAAUUUGAUAGGAGCAUAUUUAUGCGACUUAAUUAACAUGUUUUCUUGCACUUACGUAGUUAGUUAUUGCUUAUAAGAGUGUUUUAAGCCAUUUUCGUAUGUUUGUAGGUCUUAAUAACAAAGUUGGCAAAAAAAGUGCAUUUUGGUGCAUUUUGGAGAAAUUUUGGGCUGAAAUGGAUUGCAUGCAUAUAGAGACAUGAGGAUGGACAUUUUUGGAAGAUUGGAAUUCAGCAUGUGUGUGUGCAAGUGUGUUGACCUACAAUUAACAAACAGUAUAACUGCCAUGUGAUGGAGAAAAUGUGUUGAUUGUGGCUGAUAUGAUGAAUAUGUGUGUGUGAAAAUGCAAAGGUAAACAUGGACAGCACACACACAUGCAAACCCACGGCAAGGUGAAGGUCUUUUUGUGCAAAGGUGACAGCACAAACAGAUGCAAAGGGAGGAGACAUCAAACAGCUCACACACAUGCAAGGAUGACAUACACACACAUGCAAACUGCGUGGACAGGUUAGAGGGCAGAAAAUGUGUUUGUUUUGUGGUUGAAAUGAUGAAGAACAUGUGUGUGCAAGUGUAACAGCUAGUACAAUGUGGAAAUGAUGAUUACAUGGUAGCACACACACAUGGGAAAGCAAAGAAUACACAUCACAUGGAAACACACGGCACAUGGGCAGAAAAUGGGUGAUUUGUGGCUGAAAUAAUGAAGAGCAUGUGUGUGUUCAAGUGUGACAGCUUGUACAUGUGGAAAUGAUGACUAGAUGGCAACACACACACAUGGGAAAGCAAGGAAACACACGGCAUGGACACAAAAAGGGAGGAGAAUAUACAACAUUUCUACCACAAUCACAUGGAAACACACGGCACAUGGGCAGAAAAUGGGUGGAUUGGUGGCUGAAAUGAUGAAGAACAUGUGUGUAAAUGUAAAGGAGAAACAUGGCAGAAAAUGUGUUUGUUUUAUGGCUGAAAUGAUGGAGGUCAUGUGUGUGAAAAUGUAAAGGGAAACAUGGACAACACACACCCAUACAAACUGCACAUGCAAGGAAUUGAAGUGGUCCUCUCCUUAACCUAUAAAUACAUCCACCAUUCCCCUUCCUAAAGGAAGAUCUUGAUCCAUCGAAAGAGCUUCAUUCACAAACAUAAGUCCCUUGCCGUGAGCUCCAUUCCAUUUCAUCUAUACAUUCAAACACAUCUCCAUACACUUCCAUUUUCCAUGCCGUGAGAUCCAUUCCAUCCAUACAUCCAUAAAUCCCACAUUUCACAAACACAAAUACAUUUUCCUUCCCUUGGCCGACACAUUCACCAAUCCUAAAUACAUUCCAAACCGUUCCAUAUAUCCAUACACAUCCUAGACACUUGUGCUGCAACAAGGUGGUGAAAACAAAGGUCCUUGGCAUUUCAAGCUUGGAACUUCGGAGCGUUUUAGGUGUACUUCGUUCUUGCUUUCAAUGUCUACUUUGUUAUUUUCUAAUUUUGUUGCAAUUAUGAGUGGCUAAACCCCUAUUUAAUUAGGGGGAAGUUUGAAGCCAUGAACAGGCUUGAGAUAUGAAUUGAUUUCUUCCAAUUGUGAUUUGAUAAGUUGUGAUUGCAAUUCAAUUAUCUAUUUUAUUCAUAACUGAUUCUUGUAUGUUUAUUAAGGACGCAUACUUAGUUUUCAUGCAUGAAUUAGAUGCUAGAAUAUAAAUGAGUUUCACCUAAUCGUUACAAGUUUAUAUUCAUGAGUAGUGAAGGUUGUUUAUCACAAUCGCGUUAAUUGAAUUCUUGGCAAUUGUAGCAUGCAUUCAUAGUUAUAAUUGCCUCGUCAACACUUAUGAUUUUCAUUAAACGUAAUGAUCUCUGAUUGUAUCUCUAUUAUGCGUUCAUAUAGAGGACUUUUAGAGAAUGAUUUGGGUUGUUGCAUGCAUUCAUCCAACUCAAUGA
rnacentral:lncRNA from 1 species